CACGUAGGGCGCAAGCGUUGUCCGGAAUUAUUGGGCGUAAAGAGCUCGUAGGCGGUCUGUUACGUCUGCUGUGAAAACCCUGGGCUUAACCCUGGGCUUGCAGUGGAUACGGGGCAGACUAGAGGCAGGUAGGGGAGAAUGGAAUUCCCCGGUGUAGCGGUGAAAUGCGCAGAUAUCGGGGAGGAACACCGGUGGCGAAGGCGGUUCUGC
rnacentral:rRNA from 1 species